rnacentral:misc_RNA from 1 species
CUCCUUUUUAGAGAAAAACGACUCUCAAAACAUAUACGUUGGUUUUAUUGGGCUGCUGCAUCAUUCUUCUUUUUCCGUCCUUGUCUAGUCCUGUAGCUCAGUUGGUUAGAGCACUACACUGAUAAUGUAGGGGUCAGCAGUUCAAAUCUGCUCAGGACUACGGUAAAGAUGGGGGAUUAGCUCAGCUGGCUAGAGCGCCUGCCUUGCACGCAGGAGGUCAUCGGUUCGACUCCGAUAUUCUCCACUAAAAAAGAAGUUCUUUGACGUACUGGUAGAAGAUAGAGUAAAUUAUAAGCAACAAAGGGCAGUUGGCGGAUGCCUAGGCUCUCAAUAGCGAUGAAGGACGUGAUAAGCUGCGAUAAGCCAUACUGAGAUGCAAAUAAUCGUUUAAGUAUGGAUUUCCG